CCGCUAUGUUGCUGUGCCGCAUCGUCGCCUACCGGCCCGUGCUGCUCGCCACACUGCGGGAUGAUCAGCGGCCCAGAGGUUCCCCACCGUGGGGCAGCGACAACACUUCCUACCAACACGGUCAGCUGCGGCCGCUGUACUUGAGGAUCAGCAACACACCCCCUGACGUCAAACAUGCAGGUGGCGGUCUGUGGCCGCUGGCGGCUUCGGACCCUCCCGGAAGGCUGAACCACUCGUGGCCGCCCCCGCAGCCGCAGCAGCCGCCCCCGCCGCCGCCGCAGCUGUCGCCGCCC